UACGUAGGGGGCUAGCGUUGUCCGGAUUUAUUGGGCGUAAAGAGCGUGUAGGCGGCCAGGUAGGUCUGGUGUGAAAACUCGAGGCUUAACCUCGAGAUGUCAUCGGAAACCAUCUGGCUAGAGUCCGGAAGAGGAGAGUGGAAUUCCUGGUGUAGCGGUGAAAUGCGUAGAUAUCAGGAAGAACACCAAUGGCGAAAGCAGCUCUCUGGGACGGUACUGACGCUGAGACGCGAAAGCGUGGGGAGCGAACAGG
rnacentral:rRNA from 1 species